AGUCGAACGAAGUAGCAGUACUUAGUGGCAGACGGGUGAGUAACAUGUAGGUAUCUGCCCUUUGGCCUGGAAUAACACGAGGAAACUUGUGCUAAUACCGGAUAAGUCUUUACGGAGAAAGCUUUAUGCACCAUUGGAUGAGCCUGCACUUGAUUAGUUUGUUGGUGGGGUAAUGGCCUACCAAGACUGUGAUCAAUAGCUGAUUUGAGAGGAUGAUCAGCCACAUUGGGACUGAGACACGGCCCAAACUCCUACGGGAGGCAGCAGUGGGGAAUCUUGCACAAUGGAGGAAACUCUGAUGCAGCGAUGCCGCGUGAGUGAAGAAGGCCCUUGGGUUGUAAAGCUCUUUCGUCGGGGGAGAAAAUGACUGUACCCGAAUAAGAAGGUCCGGCUAACUUCGUGCCAGCAGCCGCGGUAAUACGAAGGGACCUAGCGUAGUUCGGAAUUACUGGGCUUAAGGAGUUCGUAGGUGGUUGAAAAAGUUAGUGGUGAAAUCCCAGAGCUUAACUCUGGAACUGCCAUUAAAACUUUUCAGCUAGAGUAUGAUAGAGGAAAGCAGAAUUUCUAGUGUAGAGGUGAAAUUCGUAGAUAUUAGAAAGAAUACCAAUUGCGAAGGCAGCUUUCUGGAUCAUUACUGACACUGAGGAACGAAAGCAUGGGUAGCGAAGAGGAUUAGAUACCCUCGUAGUCCAUGCCGUAACGAUGUGUGUUAGACGUUGGAAAUUUAUUUUCAGUGUCGC
rnacentral:rRNA from 1 species